rnacentral:rRNA from 1 species
UACGGAGGGGGCUAGCGUUGUUCGGAAUUACUGGGCGUAAGGCGCACGUAGGCGGCUUUGUAAGUUAGAGGUGAAAGCCUGGAGCUCAACUCCAGAACUGCCUUUAAGACUGCAUCGCUUGAAUCCAGGAGAGGUGAGUGGAAUUCCGAGUGUAGAGGUGAAAUUCGUAGAUAUUCGGAAGAACACCAGUGGCGAAGGCGGCUCACUGGACUGGUAUUGACGCUGAGGUGCGAAAGCGUGGGGAGCAAACAGG